AUUGAACGCUGGCGGCAGGCCUAACACAUGCCAGUCGAACGGUAACAGGAAGAAGCUUGCUUCUUUGCUGACGAGUGGCGGACGGGUGAGUAAUGUCUGGGAAACUGCCUGAUGGAGGGGGAUAACUACUGGAAACGGUAGCUAAUACCGCAUAACGUCGCAAGACCAAAGAGGGGGACCUUCGGGCCUCUUGCCAUCGGAUGUGCCCAGAUGGGAUUAGCUUGUUGGUGGGGUAACGGCUCACCAAGGCGACGAUCCCUAGCUGGUCUGAGAGGAUGACCAGCCACACUGGAACUGAGACACGGUCCAGACUCCUACGGGAGGCAGCAGUGGGGAAUAUUGCACAAUGGGCGCAAGCCUGAUGCAGCCAUGCCGCGUGUAUGAAGAAGGCCUUCGGGUUGUAAAGUACUUUCAGCGGGGAGGAAGGGAGUAAAGUUAAUACCUUUGCUCAUUGGCGUUACCCGCAGAAGAAGCACCGGCUAACUCCGUG
rnacentral:rRNA from 1 species